CACGUAGGGAGCAAGCGUUGUCCGGAUUUAUUGGGUCGUAAAGAGCUCGUAGGCGGUUCGAUAAGUCAGGAUGUGAAAACUCUGGGCUCAACUCAGAGACGCCACUUGAUACUGUCGUGACUUGAGGUCUGGUAGGGGAGUGUGGAAUUCCCGGUGUAGCGGAUGAAAUGCGCAGAUAUCGGGAGGAAACACCCAGUGGCGAAGGCGGCACUCUGGGCCAGUACUGACGCUGAGGAGCGAAAAGCGUGGGGGAGCGAACAGG
rnacentral:rRNA from 1 species